AUCGUUUAUUUGAUAGUACCUUACUACUUGGAUAACCGUGGUAAUUCUAGAGCUAAUACAUGCUAAAAACCCCGACUUCGGGAGGGGUGUAUUUAUUAGAUAAAAAACCAAUGCCCUUCGGGGCUCUUUGGUGAUUCAUGAUAACUUAACGGAUCGCAUGGCCUUGCGCCGGCGACGGUUCAUUCAAAUUUCUGCCCUAUCAACUUUCGAUGGUAAGGUAUUGGCUUACCAUGGUCUCAACGGGUAACGGGGAAUUAGGGUUCGAUUCCGGAGAGGGAGCCUGAGAAACGGCUACCACAUCCAAGGAAGGCAGCAGGCGCGCAAAUUACCCAAUCCCGACACGGGGAGGUAGUGACAAUAAAUACUGAUACAGGGCUCUUUUGGGUCUUGUAAUUGGAAUGAGUACAAUUUAAACCCCUUAACGAGGAACAAUUGGAGGGCAAGUCUGGUGCCAGCAGCCGCGGUAAUUCCAGCUCCAAUAGCGUAUAUUAAAGUUGUUGCAGUUAAAAAGCUCGUAGUUGAACCUUGGGCCUGGCUGGCCGGUCCGCCUCACCGCGUGCACUGGUCCGGCCGGGCCUUUCCUUCUGGAGAGCCCCAUGCCCUUCACUGGGUGUGCGGGGGAACCAGGACUUUUACUUUGAAAAAAUUAGAGUGUUCAAAGCAGGCCUUUGCUCGAAUACAUUAGCAUGGAAUAAUAAAAUAGGACGUGCGGUCCUAUUUUGUUGGUUUCUAGGACCGCCGUAAUGAUUAAUAGGGAUAGUCGGGGGCAUCCGUAUUCAAUUGUCAGAGGUGAAAUUCUUGGAUUUAUUGAAGACGAACUACUGCGAAAGCAUUUGCCAAGGAUGUUUUCAUUAAUCAGUGAACGAAAGUUAGGGGAUCGAAGACGAUCAGAUACCGUCGUAGUCUUAACCGUAAACUAUGCCGACUAGGGAUCGGGCGAUGUUACUAUUUUGACUCGCUCGGCACCUUACGAGAAAUCAAAGUUUUUGGGU
rnacentral:rRNA from 1 species